GUGGGGAAUAUUGCGCAAUGGGCGAAAGCCUGACGCAGCGACGCCGCGUGGAGGAUGAAGGUCUUAGGAUUGUAAACUCCUGUCAGAUGGGAAGAAAAGAUAUGCGUCUAAUAAAUGCGUAUUAUGACGGUACCAUCAGAGGAAGCACCGGCUAACUUCGUGCCAGCAGCCGCGGUAAUACGAAGGGUGCAAGCGUUAUUCGGAAUCACUGGGCGUAAAGAGUGCGUAGACGGUAUGUUAAGUUUGUUGUUAAAGACUCUGGCCUAACCGGAGGUUUGCAAUGAAAACUGGCAAGCUGGAGGGUGAGAGAGAGAAGUGGAAUUCCUGGAGUAGCGGUAAAAUGCGUGGAUCUCAGGAGGAACACCAAUGGCGAAGGCAGCUUCUUGGCUCAUUCCUGACGUUGAGGCACGAAAGCGUGGGGAGCAAACAGGAUUAGAAACCCUGGUAGUCC
rnacentral:rRNA from 1 species